CCAGUCAUAUGAUGUAUUUAUUACCUACAUUGUCAGACAACUAUGAAGUAGAAAAUUACAAACUGAAGAUUGG